rnacentral:rRNA from 1 species
UGGGGGAUAUUGCACAAUGGAGGAAACUCUGAUGCAGCAACGCCGCGUGAGGGAAGAAGGUCUUCGGAUUGUAAACCUUAGUAGUCAGGGACGAAUAAAUGACGGUACCUGAAGAGUAAGCUCCGGCUAACUACGUGCCAGCAGCCGCGGUAAUACGUAGGGAGCGAGCGUUGUCCGGAUUUACUGGGUGUAAAGGGUGCGUAGGCGGGACUGCAAGUCAGACGUGAAAUACCGAGGCUUAACCUCGGGGCUGCGUUUGAAACUGUGGUUCUUGAGUGAAGUAGAGGCAGGCGGAAUUCCUAGUGUAGCGGUGAAAUGCGUAGAUAUUAGGAGGAACACCAGUGGCGAAGGCGGCCUGCUGGGCUUUAACUGACGCUGAUGCACGAAAGCAUGGGGAGCAAACA